CAUGGCUACCACCCAAAUCCCAUCCAAGAACUCAGCUUCAUAGCUUACAACAAAUCACCAGCCAUAGAAAGCGAGUUGUCAAAUAAAAGCGUUCUUCAAGAGAAUACCCUCCAGCUUGAGUCAUCAGAUGCAAAUGGUUUGUCGGGAGAGAUGAAAGGAGAGGUAGCCAUUAAAAAAUGUAAGAUGAUCACCAAAGAAAGUGGGUCCUCAGGAGUAGAUCAGUAUGGUUUAAAGCUGCCUUCAUGGGGAGGUCCCAUUUGGAGGAUAAGGGUGACACAGGUGAGGAGGCCAAGUGAAGAGGAAGAUAGAAAUGUUAAUGUUGUUGAAUCCAAGAAGAGGGACUCUUGUAGCUGUCUUAAGAAAUCAAGGUGGAGAGAAUGGCAAUAAAACAAGGGAGAAAACUAGAGACUUCAUAUCAAAGAUCGAAUUGGAUGAACAAAAGGAAGAAACGAAGAUUGAAGUCAUCAAAUGAAGAGUAGUAACAAGUUGGUAUCAAUACUUGAAGAAGGUAUCAGACGGUAUCAGAUUUCAUAGUAUCAAGACCUCAAAGUAUCAAGGUUUAAAAUAAAUUGAAGAACAUUGAAGGUAUCAAGCAUGCAAGGUCCACGUGAAGACUGUUGAGGACCAACUGCUAGAAGAAUAGAAGACCUUAAGUGUAGCUCAAUGUAAUAGUGCACACACCAUACAUAAGCACUACACUGCAUCUCAUAAUCAUGCAUUACAUAUUGCAUCCUUUAGUUUGCAUCAUGCUUAGAAUGACCCUAAGUCAUGUUACUCUAGCAAGGACCAAAAUCUGUAGCUAUAAAGAACACAAUGGCUUUAAAAAGCCCAUUCAUCUACUAUGAAAAAUAGAAUUUUUGUGUUAAAGGACA